AGGAGAGUCUGAGAGGGGUAAUGAUAAUUCAAAAAUAUCGGAUUCUUCUACACCAUCCACAGAAAAAGUAUAUGUGGAAGAAAUUAAAGGUCUGAAGGAUUUAUUAUUGAUUCAGGGGAAAGGAUAUCUUAUCCAUUGGCUUCAAGAGGAGAUUAUAAAUGUUAUACUUGUCAAAGCUCAUGAAAAAUCCAAAAGUUCUGUCAAAUGGAAAAGAGGAGUUUUAGAGCCCAUUCCUUACUACUCAUUGUUUUGUAAUGAGAGCAUUCCAAUGGUACCUUGGAACAUAAACCUCGAAUUGGGACUACAAAAGAAUUAUUUCUUAAUGCUUCUCAAGAAAAUUGGGAUCUAUCUACCCAGAGACAGAAGUACACGUCGUUUCCCUAGGAUACCAAAGGACUGGUCAAUUGAUCAUCUGCUAACAAUUCAUAAAAAACUUGCAUCUAGUCAUGAUGUAACCUCAGAAUGGAAAUUUGCACAUGCCAACAAACAAAUUGCAAAUUUUGCGAAGCCCAUACUUCAAAAUAUAGAAUUAUUGAACGAAGUUCAACUAUAAACUUAAUUUAUUCUUUUUUUUGUUUAAGCUUAUUCUUCAUAGAAAGUGAAUGUGCACAAGGCUAUAUUAAUAUCUUAUUUUCACUAAUUGUUAUUUGUCUAUAAUUUUGAUCAAGCGAUGCAACACAAGGCUAUGUUAAUAUCUCAAAUUCACUAAUUGUUAUUCGUCAAUAAUUUUGAUCAAGAGAUGCAACACGGUCUCUUAUUGCUGACCUUGGUUUACAAAGAGGAAAAUCAGAGAAUAGCCAAGAUAAUUCGCCUAUCGCGGAUGAAAACAUGGAGUUUUCUUCUCCACCAUCCUCAAAAAAAAGUAUAUAUUUAAGAAAUUGAAGGUUUCAAUGAUUUAUCAUUGAUUCAGGGGAAAGGAUAUCUUAUACAUUGGAUUCAAGAGGAGAUUAUAAAUGUUAUACUUGUCAAAGCUCAUGAAAGAUCCAAAAGUUCUGUCAAAUAGAAAAAAGAAGUUUUAGAGGCCAUUGCUUACUACUCAUUGUCUGAGUAUUCAUUCGUGACCUUAUUUGAUUAUAAAAUGGACAUGUGGCAUAUUUAUUUAUUAUUUGUUUAGUUUGUAACGAGAGCAUUCCAAUGGUACCUUGGAGCAUAAACCAAGAAUUUGGACUACAAAAAAAUUAUUUCUUAAUGCUUCUCAAGAAAAUUGGGAUCUAUCUACCCACAGAUAGAAGUACACGUUUCCCUAGGAUACCAAAGGACUGGUCAAUUGAUCAUCUGCUAACUAUUGAUAAAAAACUUGCUUAUAGCCAUGAUGUAACCUCAGAGGGGAAAUUUGACAAAACUAAAUUUAUUGUGUUUUUUAUAUGUUUAUUUUUCAUAGAAAGUUAAUGUGCACAAGGCUAUGUUAAUAUCUCAAAUUCACUAAUUGCUAUUUGUCUAUAAUUUUGAUCUUUUUGUGAAUCAGUUCUUUUUAUGAUUAAGUUUUUUUUUUUAGUGAAUCAGUUCUUUUAAAGAUUCAGUUCUUUUGAUGAUUCAGUUCGUUUGUGCAAGCGCAUUAUAGUGCAAUGAAAGUAUCAAGCUACUGAACUACCGUAGUAUACUUGAAUAUAUUCAUAUUUCAUAAUAACUUAACAAAAAAGUCAAAGUGGAUAUCAAUAUUUGAUUGAGGUUGGUUGAUAUAUUUUUAUAUUUGGGGAAAUUACGGUAUAAAGGAACAAAUCACUUAUGAUGGAACUGAAUCUGUUCAGUAAUUCACUAAAAAGAGUCGUUCAAAAGAAGGAAUCGUUCACCAUCAGACAAAAUUAGUCGCUAUUACAUGUCAUAAAUAUAAAUAUUAUAUAUAAACAUACAUAUAA
rnacentral:lncRNA from 1 species